GCGAUCCCAGGUCAGGCGGGGCUACCCGCUGAGUUUAAGCAUAUCAAUAAGCGGAGGAAAAGAAACUAACGAGGAUUCCCUUAGUAGCGGCGAGCGAACCGGGAAGAGCCCAGCGUGAAAAUCGUCCGUCGUCGGCGGCCGAAUUGUAGUCUGGAGAAGCGUCCUCAGUGACGGACCGGACCCAAGUUCACUGGAAGGUGGCGCCGGAGAGGGUGAGAGCCCCGUCGUGUCCGGACCCUGU
rnacentral:rRNA from 9 species